CCUACGGGAGGCAGCAGUGGGGAAUUUUCCGCAAUGGGCGAAAGCCUGACGGAGCAAUACCGCGUGAGGGAUGACGGCCUAUGGGUUGUAAACCUCUUUUUUCAGGGAGGAAAAAAAUGACGUUACCUGAAGAAUAAGCAUCGGCUAACUCCGUGCCAGCAGCCGCGGUAAGACGGGGGAUGCAAGUGUUAUCCGGAAUCACUGGGCGUAAAGCGUCUGUAGGUGGUUUAAUAAGUCAACUGUUAAAUCUUGAGGCUCAACCUCAAAACCGCAGUCGAAACUAUUAGACUAGAGUAUAGUAGGGGUAAAGGGAAUUUCCAGUGGAGCGGUGAAAUGCGUAGAGAUUGGAAAGAACACCGAUGGCGAAGGCACUUUACUGGGCUAUUACUAACACUGAGAGACGAAAGCUAGGGUAGCAAAUGGGAUUAGAUACCCGGGUAGUC
rnacentral:rRNA from 1 species